rnacentral:rRNA from 1 species
GAUGAACGCUAGCUACAGGCUUAACACAUGCAAGUCGAGGGGAAACGACAUCGAAAGCUUGCUUUUGAUGGGCGUCGACCGGCGCACGGGUGAGUAACGCGUAUCCAACCUGCCCAUCACUUGGGAAUAACCUUGCGAAAGUAAGACUAAUACCCAAUGACAUCCCACGAAGACAUCUGAAUGGGAUUAAAGAUUUAUCGGUGAUGGAUGGGGAUGCGUCUGAUUAGCUUGUUGGCGGGGUAACGGCCCACCAAGGCAACGAUCAGUAGGGGUUCUGAGAGGAAGGUCCCACACAUUGGAACUGAGACACGGUCCAAACUCCUACGGGAGGCAGCAGUGAGGAAGAUUGGUCAAUGGGCGAGAGCCUGAACCAGCCAAGUAGCGUGCAGGAUGACGGCCCUAUGGGUUGUAAACUGCUUUUAUAAGGGAAUAAAGUGGGUCUCGUGAGACUUUUUGCAUGUACCUUAUGAAUAAGGACCGGCUAAUUCCGUG